rnacentral:lncRNA from 1 species
GCUAAAGGGAAAAAACUUAGGAAAUGAUGAAAAACUGAUGUCUAUGAGUUUACUCUGAAGCCUUGCAAGUUGUUUUGGCCCUGGGAGCUUCCAAACAUAGGCAUACUGUGAACCAGUGUUUCCCAAGACAUGGGGUUCUGCCGAAGAGCAGGAAGAAGGGAGCUGUGACCACACGCCUCAUGAAAC